rnacentral:lncRNA from 1 species
AGUCCCGACCAACUGCUGGAAUUCACUCGCCUAAAGGUUAUGGCAAAACCUUAGAGUAUCAAGGAAACUCUUAAGAACCUCUUUAAGCUUUAAAGCUACUUCGCUUAGGAACCAGUCUUUUACGGGUAGACUCACACCUUAGAGUAUCAAGGAACUCUUAAGAACCUCUAACUUUUGCGGGUAAGUUAGUACCUUAGAGUAUCAAGGAACUCUUAAAAACCUCUUUAAGUUUUAAGGCUACUUCGCUUAGGAACCAGUCUUUUACGGGUAGACUCACACCUUAGAGUAUCAAGGGCACUCUUAAGAACCUCUAACUUUUACGGGUAAGUUAGUACCUUAGAGUAUUAAGGAACUCUUAAAAACCUCUCUAAGCUUUAAGGCUACUUCGCUUAGGAACCAGUCUUUUACGGGUAGACUCACACCUUAGAGUAUCAAGGGCACUCUUAAGAACCUCUAACUUUUACGGGUAAGUUAGUACCUUAGAGUAUCAAGGAACUCUUAAAAACCU